CUUUUAAGUUGCUGGUGUUCCGGGAUGGUCGUGUGCAUGUUCUCUCACCCGGUGGAGAUCCGCAGCGUUUAUUCCAAAGCCUUGGCCUUCCACCCCAUCUCAACCUGCCUACUGUUCCUGUGACAUCAGAGGAAUAACACCAUUUACCGAGUGAGUGGAAAGAGUACGAGGGCACUGACUGCCUUAACGGAUAUCGUAUGGUGACAGCUGGGGAUGGCUCUAAUUAUCCAGGGGCCUAUUUUUACAUGCAUCCGGCAUAGGGGGUCGACGCGGGUCUGUUG